rnacentral:rRNA from 1 species
UACGGAGGGAGCUAGCGUUGUUCGGAAUUACUGGGCGUAAAGCGCACGUAGGCGGCUUUUUAAGUCAGAGGUGAAAUCCCGGGGCUCAACCCCGGAACUGCCUUUGAAACUGGAGAGCUAGAAUCUUGGAGAGGCGAGUGGAAUUCCGAGUGUAGAGAUGAAAUUCGUAGAUAUUCGGAAGAACACCAGUGGCGAAGGCGACUCGCUGGACAAGUAUUGACGCUGAGGUGCGAAAGCGUGGGGAGCGAAAGCG